AGAGAUGAAGAAAGUAGACAGGAGUACCAGGAGACUUGAGUAGUGGCAAAAGCUAAGGAAAAGGCAUAUUGUGAGCUGUACAAGAAGUUGAACAGUAAGGAAAGAGAAAAGAACUUGUACCGACUGGACAGACAAAGGGAAAGAGCUGGAAAGGAAGUGAGCUGGUUAGGGUUGUAAAAGAUGCAGAUGGUAAUGUGCUGACAAGUGAGGAGAGUGUGUUGAGAAGGUGGAGGGAAUAUUUUGAGGAGCUGAUGAA